rnacentral:rRNA from 1 species
UACGGGGGGGGGCAAGCGUUGUUCGGAAUUACUGGGCGUAAAGGGCUCGUAGGUGGCCAACUAAGUCAGACGUGAAAUCCCUCGGCUUAACCGGGGAACUGCGUCUGAUACUGGAUGGCUUGAGUUCGGGAGAGGGAUGCGGAAUUCCAGGUGUAGCGGUGAAAUGCGUAGAUAUCAGGAGGAACACCGGCGGUGUAGACGGCUUUCUGGACCGUAGCUGACGCUGAGACACGAAAGCGUGGGUAGCAAACAGG